rnacentral:ncRNA from 2 species
CGCUCAUCCAGAGGGACUGAGGGAACGGCCCGUUGAAGUCCCGGCAACCCCCCUGCCGACCGCGAGGUCACGGUGGGGAAGGUGCCAAUUCCGUCUCAUGGCGAAAUGCGCCAUGGGGAAGAUGAGGA